GUCGCGAUCAGAUAGGUAUCUAUCCGGAUGAAAAUCCGGAAAGCGCUGGUUCAAUCCCGGCUCGUGACA
rfam:Triticum aestivum genome assembly, contig: Triticum_aestivum_CS42_TGACv1_scaffold_179444_2DS